rnacentral:lncRNA from 1 species
ACGGGCGACUGGACACCGGCGGAGCAGGACGCAGGACCUAGCCCCGUUCGCUCCAGGCUGCAGGGGAGCCACGCUGCCCACCACGGCGUACCCAGUCCCUCCCUGAGCGGGUCUCGGCUUUCCCGCGGAGCCUAAUGGGCCUCACUGGAGUUCCGUUUCCAGACGCCUUGGACCAGGCUGCUCUGGAGGUCAGCCGCCCCCGAGGCUGAAGAGCCGGCGGCUCGGAGAAGGCUGCGCGGGAGGCCGCGCCCUCCGGGUCGCGUGGGCCGGGCGUCCGCUGUCUCUCCAGAAACACCCGCGUCCCGCGGCAACGGCCUCUUCCUAGCCCGCCUCGCCCGCUCCCCGCCCGCCCAGAGGGCCCCGCACGAGCUCCGUCCACCUCCUCCUUCCGCGCUCGGGGCCAGGACGGCGGCGGGAAACAGCUUACGGAGGCUACCGCAAGGGAGGCGAAAAGCAGCCAGCUCGCAGAGCUCCACGGACCCGGCGCGAGUCCCCAGCCACACUCCGCACUGCCCCUCUAGGCGCGGCGCCGCUGCCCGCACAAAGCUUCCCGCGAAACUGACGUCGGCGCGCGCAGGCACCGCCCCCGGCCUCGCCCCUCCCCCGCGCUCGCCCCGCUCCCCAGAGCGCCGGCGCACUCGCCCUCCUCCUAUUGGUUGUUGCGGGGCGGCGCGCGCCGGUCGGCGCCGUGCGCGCCUAGCCAUUGGCCGAGCGGCGGC